UAAACGCCAUAUACACCAGAAUACUGGCUCUCUUAUAUUUUUGGUGAAGGUUUCUUCGUUUAUCUCUUAUUUAUAAUUUAUUCUUUUUAUGUUUUUUUUUAACUUCUUUGUCUUUCCGUAAACUGACUCUCUACUCUUUUUCUGUUAUACCUCCUAAAUUUCUUUUCUAUUAGAGGAGACGGACAUCACGUGACAGGGAGAGUUGAUAUGAGUGUGCACCAAGGUGCAUUUCUCCCAACUCUCUUCUGUCACGGAAGUGUUCGUCGAAUCUACCCUCUGUUUUCUCCUGGUGUUAUUAUUUUGCCUUCUUAUAGGUAUUUACAGGUAACAACAUCUACAAGCCUCCCCUGCAAUACGUAAGUAUAAAAACAAGGUGAGUAUCGGUGGGUCGAGGCCUACUUUUUAAAAAAAAAA